GCAUUCAGUUCCUGGUGUUUGGACUGAGUUGAGCUUAUGGAUUCCCGGAGUGUAAAGUAAAGGGUUUAAUCUUUGCAACCCAGAAGCAGGAGUUUUAAGGAAGAACCCAGUGUGCUGUGAUGUCUGCCAGACUGAGCAGAACGUUGGGACAUUAAGGUCUGAAGAGCAGUCAGUGUUCCCUGCCCUGUGGAAAGUCCAAAGUCCUCCCCCCUCCAU